UCCUGUACAGCUUAGAAACCAGGAGCUUAUUGCCUUGCUUGCUCAAAAGCCUCAGGAGAGGAGACCAAGCAAGUCUAAAAGUUUUGGAGGUGGAAGGAACCUGCCUCCUCCUGACCCUGUGACCUUGAGAUUCACAGAAGUACAGAAGCAGCACAAUGGAGCUGAAAGAAAGUAUACUUCCUCAUUGAAAGCAAAAUGGUGCAACCAACUUCUAGCAUAUGGAAACAUUUCCACACUGCAAGUUAUUCUGAGAAAAAAA